UACAGAGGUCUCAAGCGUUGUUCGGAUUCAUUGGGCGUAAAGGGUGUGUAGGUGGCGCCGUAAGUCGGGUGUGAAAUUUCGGAGCUUAACUCCGAAACUGCAUUCGAUACUGCCGUGCUUGAGGACUGGAGAGGAGACUGGAAUUUAGGUGUAGCGGUGAAAUGCGUAGAUAUCAUGAGGAAGACCAGUGGCGAAGGCGGGUCUCUGGACAGUUCCUGACGCUGAGGACGAAGGCAGGGGAGCAAACGGGG
rnacentral:rRNA from 1 species